rnacentral:lncRNA from 1 species
CAAAUGUUCAUACUCUGCCAGCAACCCAAUAAUCAGUAAGAACAGACUUUCUUAUGAGCUGCAAGAGUGAAGCCAAGCUUUUAAACUAUUGCUAUGGGAGAAUAUUAUGGUAAUCAGUCAACAUCUGAUUGAAAGCAUGAAGCUUUUUCAUUAUCUCUACAAGGUGAUUGAAUUUCUUCUACCUGAACAGCAAGAUUCUCCUUUGAAUUGCUGCAGCAGAGACUGGCACUGGACUCUUGUGAUUACAUUGGGCUCACCCAGAUAGUGAUAAUUCAGGAUAACCUUCCCAUCUGAAGAUCCUUAACUCAAUCACAUUUGCAAAAGUAAGGUAACAUAUUCACAGCUUCUGGUAUUAGGAUGUUUACACUUCUAGGGGGCUCUUAUUCUGUCUACCAUGCCACCCUCCACAGGUAGAAUCAUAUUGUAAUGAUCUGCAGAUUUUGUAUUGUAUUACGAUUUAAUUAUAUCAAUGCAACUUGAAUAAAUACAUUGUCUAGGACUUAAGUAUUGUUAAAGAGAUAGUUUUAGUUUCAUCAGUGUUUAUUUCUUUUCCCUUCACUAUUUACAUUAACUCUGUUGUGUGACCCUGAAGAAGUCAGACUUCUCAGAGCCUCAGUUUUCUCAUUUAGAGGAGAGUUGAACUGGCAGAUCUCUAAAGUUCCAUUCAGCUAGAAUCUUACCCAUAACUUUUUUCUAUUAUUCUAUUUUACAUUCAGAAUUGCAAGGCAGCAGAGGUGCUGGUUUCUCCCCAGAGAGGCGAAAGCCAGAAGACUGUUGAUUUGGCUUUGCUCUGUUUUGCAUGCCUAAAGCAGCCUCGCAGAGUUUGUGGUUUGGGACUAGAAAAACAAUGGAUAACAGUUUUAUACUUAUAUUCUCAUAAAUAAAUGGUACAACCUUUAUAACUAGGCUAAUAAAGUCCCCUCACUGGGACUUUUGUUCACAGAAAAUAAUGUUAAACCUACCACUUAUGGUGGGUGAUAAGAGAUGCUAUAUUUGCACAAAUUCUAAGGGUAUGAGUCAUUCAAAAUGUUUUAUUGCAUUCUGGUUUUCUAUAAUGUCAUAUUUUAUUGGAAAUAUUAAGUUUUAAAUGAAUAUUCAGAAUACACUUCCUGAAAAUUAUUUAAAGUGAAAUACUAAGGGAGGUAAACUUUCUUUAUUCUUUUUUUGAGACAGAGUUUCGGCUCUUGUCACCCAGGUUGGGAGUGCAGUGGUGCAAUCUUGGCCCACUACUACCUCUACCUUCUGGGUUCAAGCAAUUCUCUCGCCUCAGCCUCCUAUCUGGGAUUACAGGCAUGCGCCACCAUGCCUGGCUAAUUUUUUUUGUUGUUGUUGUUCAUUUUUAGAGACAGGGUUUCACCAUGUUGGCCAGUCUGGUCUUGAACUCCUGACCUCAGGUGAUCCACUGGCCUCAACUUCUUAGAGUGCUGGGAUUAUAGGUAUGCCACUGUGCCUGGACAGAAGGUAAACUUUUAAAAUGUAGUUCUUGUUUUUACUGGGCAAAGGAGUCAUAGGAAAAAGAAAAUCCCAUUAUGAGGCACUUGCUAUUUGAAAUCUGUAAGCUAUUAGUCUAAAGCUGGUAAAUAGACAUCAGAAUUCGUUACAUGCUCUAAAUUUACUUUUUGUUGUUGUCUUAUUGUGCAUUAUUCUUUAAUGUAACACUAUUUGGAAUAUCUCUGACAUGCUCUAAUGAACAAAAAAAUCUGAUGAUGAAUUUUUUAAUGUAACACUAUUUGGAAUAUCUCUGACAUGCUCUGUACAAAAAAAAAUCUGAUGAUGCAUUUAAACAAGUGACCUGAGCACUGGCUGAUGUGAAGAUACUGUAUUCUAUUGCACCUUUCUCUUUCUCAUUUAUACUAUUUCUUGUUGGCAGCCAUGGGGCAUUAACCUCCUUCUAAGAAAAGUUAAUAUGUUCACUUAGAAUUUACAAUUUAGAAAACCAAAUUGUGGCAAUUCGUGUCUCUCUCUAGCAAGAUGCAAUAUCACGUAUCUUGUUUGCAUUGCUUUCUAUGGAAGAUGGAAGGGAGGAAUAGAGAGGAAAAGUGGAGCAGAUAGCUGAAUGAUCCAUGUUCAGAAACCAUUACAAGUUCCUUCAGAGCACGGCUUCCUUAUAAAUUACUAGUUUAAAUUAUUGUAAUAUCUAAAUAUCUUUAUUAUUUAUUGCAUGUGUUCUCCUUCUUAUCAUAUUCUCAUCAUACUUAAUAAGUAGCUGUUGAACAUCUACCUUGUGUCAAGUACCGUGCUAAGCUCUGAAAAUACAAUGUCAGGCAAACCUGUUCAUGGUUCUUAUAUUUUAGGGGGAGAGACAGAGAUGUUAAUCCUGAAAUAACACAAUUGCAUUUAAAUUGCAGUUAUGCUAAGAACAAUGCGUUUAACCAAGACAAAAACUAAAGAGACAGGAUUUUUAGAAAAUAUCAACUUGUAUCAGUAAUAGAACACUUUACAAAACAUCAAGUCUUAUGUGGGUAUCCAUGUGAUUUUACUGAGAGUUUCUUUUCUCUAAACUAUUUAAUUGCAAAGGGAAUUUGGCAUAACAGGGAAAAUUCAACAGCUUUAGAAGCAGCAAAAGAAAAUUAGUCAAGUGACCUUUGCCCAAGAUAUCAGAUCCAUUAAGUAGCGAUACAUGGCAUAGUCUAAUUAACAACCUGAAACUGAAAUUUCUGCGGGUAUCAGGUAUAAUUGAAUAAGAAAUGUUAAAUGCCACCAGGCGUUUUAUUGCACAUACAAGGCAAGUAUGGAGACAUAUCCAUGGCUAAUUUUGAUAAGAAUCAAGUUAUAUUAUACACUGGGAUUGCUGAUUUAUUUUAUAUUUAAGAAUUUAAAUGUAAUAUAAUAUCCAGGAUGAGAUCCUAGAACAGGGAAUGGACAUUAGGCAAAACUAAGGUAAUCUGAA